UACGGAGGGUGCAAGCGUUAAUCGGAAUUACUGGGCGUAAAGCGCGCGUAGGCGGCUUUGCAAGUCGGGUGUGAAAUCCCCAGGCUUAACCUGGGAACUGCAUUCGAGACUGCAUUGCUAGAGUAUGGGAGAGGGAAGUGGAAUUUCCGGUGUAGCGGUGAAAUGCGUAGAUAUCGGUAGGAACACCAGUGGCGAAGGCGGUCUCCUGGGGCAUUCUUGACGCUGAGGCGCGAAAGCUGGGGGGAGCGAACGGG
rnacentral:rRNA from 1 species